UGGAGUCUGAUGACCAAGGGCAGGAAGCAUCCAGCACGGGACAAAGAAGAAAGCCAGAAGACUCAGCAAGCCAGCUCAUCUCACUUUCUUCUGCCUACUUUGUUGUAGCUGAGCUGGCAGCCAGUUGGAUGGUGCACACUCACAUUGAGGAUUGGGAGGCUGCUGUGUAUGGAUAAGAUACCUGCUACAGCCAGCUUGACACCAUGAGAAGGACAAGAGAAUUGCAGAGACACAUAUCCAGGAUUCUGAUCCAGUUGAGGCACUGAAAUAAUCUAGAACCACCUUCAAAUUUCUUAUAAAGAGAGCUAUGCUAUUAGGAUUUAAUUAAAUGGAUGCCAACAGCAAGUAAACCAUCUCCAAAGAUGCCAUGAAGCUCUCCUAAUUGCAGGAAAAUAUCAGAGGCACUUGAUUUGAGUCUUUCAAGUACGGAAAUAACAAAUUCAGUCUCAACAGACCUAUAGUGAAUGAGGACAUUGAGAUCUGCUGGUUGGAGAUCUUAGUGCCCAAGGAAGAAUGCUUGCAAAAGGAGAUGGAACAGUGUUUCUGUUGCAUUGGCCACUGAGAAUAUCUGGUUAUUUUGAAUUUGUCACAGUCUGCAGCUAAAAGGCGAACAGGAAAAGAAGAGAGAGCGGUAAUUUGAAUGAUAGCAGAUUUCACAUCAGGAACCAAUGAAGCUAGAUAAGAAUGCAACAUCUUUGAUGUCUAAAAGAAACAAAAAGCCAACCUUGAAUUCUUUAUUUAGUGAAGUUACCCUUCAGAAAUGACGGCAAAAUAAAGAUGUUUUCCAAUAAAAGACAACUAUGAGAAUUCUUCACCAGCAGUCCUAUUGUAUCAGAACAGCCAAAAGAAGUUUGUCAGCCUACAGGGAAUUAUAUCAAAGGGAAGACUUGACCUUGAAAAUGAAUGAGGAAUAUAAGAAAUUGAUAUUAUCUGGGAAGCGGCACAUGAGACUAGCAGGAGUAAAUGUUAUAUACACUGGGCCUCGCAAAAAUUCUGCAAUCACUGGGAAUCAGUAACCUGGUAGAAUGAGAAAACAACGUAAUACUGAAAAAUCAAAACACCAUCCUACAGAACUUUGAUGCAUUCAGAACAAAGAUCACGAAUCAAGCUGAAAAAGUAAAGCAUUCUGUGAGUUGUGGAAUGGAAAUUGCCUCAACCAUCUCACCACUUGAUGACACUUGUAAUUUCAGUGACCCAAUUCAAGCAAUCAAACAUCAAGUAAUACUCUCAAUAAAGAUGUGUAAUUAAAACAGAAGAGGAAACAGACUAACAGAAGUGAUGAAGAAUGGCAGUUCUAAGGAUGGCAGGAAUUCACUGAAUGUCUAUCUAUCAUGUAUGCUGUUGGAGGCACCUGUCUUUCAGUUCAGAGGUUAUGGAUGUAUCUAUCAUCAGUAUUUCGGGAAGUCAGGGACCCGGAACAGAGGGACUUAAUGAAGCUGUGGCAGAAGAAAAAAUUAUGAAGAUUUCAUGGACAUUUAUUAGUUCCCCAAAUUAAUACUUUUAUAAUUUCUUACA
rnacentral:lncRNA from 1 species